GCAGUAUACAUGAACCUUGCUUGGGGAAGAAAGCAAUGUAUAGCUGAAGGCCAAGGACUAGGAAGUGAGUGUACAUAGUCCUCUAACACCAUGUCAGAGAUAAUAUGGAAAAUUAAAAUGGAGAGGAUGCCCAAUAGCACAUAUUGAUUGGACCACCACAAAUGAGGCUCUAGCCUUGAGAAGGUGAAACAUGCAGAGACCAAGAUUGUUGUACAAAAAGCUUGAUUGGGCUUGGAGAUCUUUCAGAAAUGCUCCCUUCUAUCACCAUGAACAUCCAUUGGUCUAAGCCUCUGUAUCACUAC